UACGUAGGGUGCGAGCGUUAAUCGGAAUUACUGGGCGUAAAGCGUGCGCAGGCGGUCUGUUAAGACCGAUGUGAAAUCCCCGGGCUUAACCUGGGAACUGCAUUGGUGACUGGCAGGCUUUGAGUGUGGCAGAGGGGGUAGAAUUCCACGUGUAGCAGUGAAAUGCGUAGAGAUGUGGAGGAAUACCGAUGGCGAAGGCAGCCUCCUGGGCCAACACUGACGCUCAUGCACGAAAGCGU
rnacentral:rRNA from 1 species